GGCGACCCUGGGCUGCUGAAGAAGAGUGUGGGAAAUUAACCACUCAGCUGCUGGGCCGGCCCCAGGAUGGGUUUAUUUUAUUCCACCCUUUCACUAAAGGUAGAAGCUUCUAGAACAUGAGCACUGAAUGUGCCUGUGUACAUAUGUGUAUGUGUAAGUAUGUGUGUGUGUGUAUGUGUGUUGUGGUGUUUAGUGGGGUGAGGGGAUGGCUGGGUCUCAGUUCUGACUUCCAGCUUCCCUCAAGCCAAAGACCUCUUGUCCUUUUCCCUUGUGGUCAUGAAGAUUCAAGUCUCUGUGUUUAUAGGGACUGGAGGAGUUCCCCAGAUGCCAGACUGACAGUUCACAUAACACGAUUCUAGUCUUCAGUUCUCUUUUCAUUUUUGGCCCCUAGGGAUUUACCUUACUUUUUUGCGAAUGCAUCUGUGCUUUUCAAAGCAUAUUUGUUAUAUCUUACAUGACAUUUCUAGUUAUUUUGGGCCACAUUUCUGGUUGUUUGUUUGUACAUCUUCAAUUUUACUAGCUAUUGCCAAAAUCGUUCUCCAAAUAGUAGCACCAAUUUGCACUCCCACAACAGUGCCUGUUGCGUCAUGUCCUCACCAACACCUGGUAAUGAGAGAAUGGCGUCAAAAAAAAGACUCAAUAAUAAAGUAUUCUCAGAUAUGAAAAAUUUUUGUCAAAUGAGUUAUUACAAAAUGGUAUCUCACUGUUUGUCAAUGUGCAUUUCCUUGAUUAUUCAUGAUAUUCACUAUCUUUUUAGAAAAACAUAUUAGACAUUUUUGUCCCCUCUUCAGGGAAUUGGUUUUUAUAUUUUCCGUUCAUUCCUGCCCCCCUCUAUUGAAUUUUAGUUCAUUUUUCAUUAAUUUGUGGUCUUUUAAAAUGUAUAUUCUCAUGCUACUCCUUUGUGGUUUAUUUUUGUCACAAAUACUUUUCCCCAACUUGUGGCUUAUCUUUCCACUUUGCUUAGAGUAAAUAGACUUUGUUUUAGUACUUUAUUUGUGGAGUUUCAUUAAUUCUUUUCUUCUUAAGAUGUCUUAAAUUCUUCAUCUUUAAAUGCUUAAAAAGUGCUUCUGAUCUUUGUAAAGAUAAAAAGCCCAUUUUGCCCUGGUAGUAAUUAUGAAAAUGUGCUAUUAACCUCUAACUGUAUAACUGUACUCCUUUUUUUCCCCAAAAGUGAUGCUCUUUCUGUUCAUCUUUUAAAAUUAUAAGUUGUUAUGCGCAAAUAUUCCCAUGUUUCAGUGCUUUUAACUGUUCAAUAGAUGGUGCAAUACUUACCCUCACAGGUAGAGACUAUGAUAAAUUUUAGUCUAAGAUUUAGUUUUUGGACUUUCAAUAACGACUACAUCCUCUCCACAUGCUUCCCUGAAUGAAAUGGUAUAAGAAAAAGAUAAUUCAUUAUGAUUAUUGCUAAUAAUUGCCGAUACAUAUUAGAAAUCAUUCAUGACAUUUAUUUUUAUUCUUAAUUAAUAAGUAGUGGAAAUGAAAGCAAACUUAGACAAUAGAGAAAAGUGGAAAAACAUUAUCUGUAACCUCAUUCUCUGAUCACAAUUAUUAUUAAAAUUUUGUUGUUUUUCCUCUCAGAUUUCUUCUCUAUGCAUCAGAUUCCCCCUGACAUAGAUGUAAUGAGACUGUAUAUACAAUUUUAUAUUCUGCCUUUUUAACUUACUUGUAUAUCAUAAGUGUCUAUUUGUAUUAUGACAUAACACACUUUCUAUGUUAGAAGGGACCUGAGGCAGUUUAAGGGAUAAUUUCAAGAGCAAACAUUUAAAGAUACAGAGAAGAGCCCGUUUGAUAGGAGCAGAUUCUCCCAGGCACCUGUCAGAUAGAUUACAGCACUUGGACUAUGAGUUUAAGUUUGACAUUUCUCUUAGCUGAGGUGAAAUGGGUAGCUUGUUGGUGUUAUGUGUUUCUGAGCCUUUUUCAAGUACUUUCCAAUGGGAGUUCUGUGUUAGAAAAUGGAAUCCCACAUAGUGGCAAAGAUCAGAUUUAGAUACUGCCUUCCCACCUGAGCCUACUGUUUCCAUAGGCUUUGCCUCAAGAACAGAGAGGAAGAUAGUUAUUAUAUGAAGCCAGUAAAUAUAAGAUCAGAGUUCCAGGCUUAAAAUUAUAUUUCUAGGUGAGAUUUUUGGCUUGUGUUAUAUGCAUAGGAAAUUGACAUGAAGCAAAUAGAUUGGAAUUCUACUGAAAUUUUGAGGGAAUUUUUUUGCCAAAGAAACAAGGCAUCUGUCUUACGAAACUCCUUGUAAGGAGCCUGAACAACUCCCCCACUUCCUCCUCCAUCAUCUAAACCGGCAGGAAACAGGCUCCAGACCGUGCAGCUCCCCAAGCGGGCACUGUUCUCGAUGGACAUCUCGGAGGUGGUCUUGGAGGAAAACGAGCAAAGAAGCAACUCCCAGCAGAACUCCUGGUGACUUAAGAAUACUAACAUAACAACUUAAAGAAAGCCUGCAUUAGAUCUUCAAUGAUCCUGAGCGAAUAUUAGCCCUGAGCUGACGUGUGCCACCAAUCCUCCUCUUUU